GCUGUGAUGGCCGAGUGGUUAAGGCGUUGGACUCGAAAACCAAUGGGGUCUACCCACGCAUGAUCGAACCCUGCUCACAGUG